GCCUUAUACAGGAAUUAAGUGUUAAAAACACAUGCUUCAUCAUUGCCUACCCUGAGUCUUUAGUUCUUUGGGACCCACUGAUCAAGUUCAACCUCCAUGUUUGAUAGAGGAGGAAACGGAGCUCCUGAGAAGGGAGGCACCCAUUCUGGGUGACAAAGCAAGUCACUGGCCAAAGUGAGUCUGCAGCUUGAAGCUUAGCUCCGGGACCCCUCGCUGCUUCCGGCUUCCUUGUUUUUCAGGAACCAUGGAGCUGAAGGCUGCGCUAGUGCAGGAAGGGUCCUGGCUCUCUGGGGUGGUGGGUGGGGCUCAAGGAAGCUGAAGAGGCUCACCUGGUGGGGCUCAGUUGAUGGUUGAAGUGUGGAGUGGGUGUUGCUGAUACCCUCACCACGGGAGCUGUCCUUAACCCUAGGCUCUUCAAUUCCCCUGCUGAAGAGCUGUCUGCUUCCAUCGGCAAGUCCUUUGCUCACAGCAGCUUCAUUUUAUUUAUUUCUUAAGAGAAGAAACUUCUCCUUUUCAAGGCAAAUUCUUUGCCCACUUAUACACUUGAGGAAAUCAGAGGAACAAGAGUUACCUACUUCAUAGGGCAGCUGCUGGCUUCAGAGAGGGAAGUGCUUAAAGUAGCUGGUGUGGCUCUGGGCAUGAGGUCACCUGCCACUGUUCCUGUGUCUUCUUAUCUCCUGCCUGUAGUCAUUAGCCCUGCUGUCUCCCUCGGCGUGUCCAGGACAGAAGCGGUUUAAUGCCACGAUGUGCAGGGCCUGUGUGCAGGCUCCAAGAUUUCUCAGGAGGAAGGAGGCCGAAGGAAAAGUGUUGGUGGCUCCCUGGGAACCCAGGCACUUCCAUCAGAGGAAUCUGAGUCCAGCUCAACUGAACUCUCAGAUGCCUUUUCUUUGGAUACAACACAAGACAGUGAACAGGAAACUGGUGAUUUUCUAAAAUGGCAGAGUAGAAGCACAUGUGCUCAUCUUUCUGUUCAGGGAGAGACACAACUGAAGUCCAUUGCUGAUUAAAUUUGUGUCUGAUUAAUAAAUAACAACUAUUCGGAUCAAAACAAAACAAAACUGGACUUCCCUGAUGGUCCAAUGGUUAAGAAUCCAUCUUGCAGGGGACACAAGUGUGCUCCCUGGUCAGGAAAUUAAGGUCCAACAUGCUGAGGAGCAACUAAGUCCAAGCCACAGCUACUGAGCCCACAUG
ensembl:lncRNA